GGCCGCCUGGCGAAAUGGCAUCGCGUCUGACUACGAUUACGUGAUCAGGAGAUUGCAGGUUCGACCCCUGCGGUGGUCA
rfam:Suillus luteus TH-Slu-Lm8-n1 unplaced genomic scaffold CY34scaffold_50, whole genome shotgun sequence.